rnacentral:rRNA from 1 species
UACGAAGGGGGCUAGCGUUGCUCGGAAUCACUGGCGUAAAGGGUGCGUAGGCGGGUCUUUAAGUCAGGGGUGAAAUCCUGGAGCUCAACUCCAGAACUGCCUUUGAUACUGAAGAUCUUGAGUUCGGGAGAGGUGAGUGGAACUGCGAGUGUAGAGGUGAAAUUCGUAGAUAUUCGCAAGAACACCAGUGGCGAAGGCGGCUCACUGGCCCGAUACUGACGCUGAGGCACGAAAGCGUGGGGAGCAAACGGG